CAGCAGCGUGGGGCGGUGGCCGUCGGCCUCGAGCGCCGGCAGCAGCACCCCCAGGGCCCCCACCUGGUACGCCGACCGGGCGCCGCCGGC
rnacentral:tRNA from 1 species